GUGUCGCGCUGGAGGAUGGUCGUAUCUCUCAGCCCAACUUAGAGUCUUGGACGUCGCGUUUUCCUGUUGAACUUUUUAUCAAACAUGCUCACCAGAACUCAGUAAUGUUCAUUCAGAACUAUUUCGUCGAAACUAUUGCACGUUUUAAAAGGUGCUCCUAUCUUUGUACCGACGAGUCUCAAGAGAAUGCGCCCAGGUGUCGGAUGUUAUCUGUGGAUAUGUGGUUUGUGGACGUAACAUAGGAGUCCUCGCUGGAGUCAUCGCCGGAUUCAGGUAAGGAAAACUUGGCAUCAUCCGACCUCCACGGUUUUUUUUUUUGCGAUUAAAUUCUUUGAUGAAUGUUGCCCUUUAUCCUUAAAAAGCCUUAAUUGCUUUUGUAUCUCUUAAAGGGCAGCAAACACGGGGGCCUACUGCAACUUUGUAAAGAAAAUAAACUGAAUUAUUUGAUAGAUCUAUGCUGCCCUUUAACCUUAAAGGCCUUAAUUGCCUUGUUUAUCUUUUAAAGGGCAGCAAACACUCUGAUAAGAACUAUGGAGACGCAUUGCAACUUUUCAAAGAAACCCCCCCCCCCAAAAAAAAAAAAAAAAAAAAAAAACAAUCGAGUAAGAUUUAUGAAGGCGUUCUGCAACUUUUCAAAGAAAAAAAAAUGCAUUUUUAAAUUGAUGCACUUCUUGAAAAAAAAUUAAGUGUUUUUCCAGUGAUUUAACAAUAAUUGAAUUGAACUGAAUGAAAAUAAGACUCCUUUUGAUGGUUCUUAGAAGAAAAGAAAGGGUUCUCUAAAAAAAAAAGGGGGGGACCUUUACUAAUGAAGCGCAAUAGUGUGGAGGUCGGAUUACGCAAGUUGUCUUAAAUCAAGAUCAAGACAAGACGAAGACUUCAAAGUGUAAGAGGAGAUCUAACCCGUUCUCUUGCAGAGUCCCACCCCUUGUACCGCCCCUUCCCCUCCAAGAUGCUCCACAAUCUUGUUGAUGUUGUCCUUGCUUGUAGAGCUUUCAAGGUAAAAUCACAUUUUCCUGGCAUUUCUUGAGUUGCAUAUUGGUCGAAGCCAGUGAUGCUUUUUAAUUAGGAGGCUAGUCUAACUGGAAACUUCUGUCGGGUUGAUACUUCAAGUCGUCAGUUGUCAUGUUUUUAUUAAUGAAAUUGUCAUGAUUUUAUGUUUUCAAAAUCUAACAAAAUCAAAGUCAUUUACCUAAUUCGUUACAAAUGUCAAUAAUUCUUAAUAAUAAAAAAAAAUAGGAAAAAAUGUUUUUCACAAAGACAAAUUUCUGCAAUAAAGUCCCUUUUGAAACCAAACGCUUUGUAGUAUGGGCACAACAUUUUAUCCCACAACCAAAAGUGUAGAAGUAAUAAUUCACUCUAAUCAACAUUCAUUUUAUGAUUAAUGUUUGAUUAUUAAGGAGUUAGAAGUAAAUAAAGAAUUUAGACUUUCUAAAUGAAUAUUUACAUAUUCCUUAUACAGUAUCAGCAUGACAUCAUUUCUGAAUGUAGAAAUUUUCAAAUAAUUAAAUCGUACAAAAAAUCUUAAAAUAAUAACAGAUAACCGAUAAAGAACUUAGGUCAAUGGAUGAUUUAUGUUUGAUUUGAUGAAAGUUGUAAAUAAAGAAUUUAGUUCAACUAAAUGACUAUUUACAUAGUCUUAUGUAAAUGACAUCAUUCCUAAAUAAAGACAGUUCAAACUAAAAUCGUAUUUGAACGAGAAAACAAAACAAUGAUAAAAAAAAAUAAAGCUGUAACACUUGCUCAUUAAGAUCAAAUUUCAAAUGAAAAAAAUGAGGGAACUUUUGGCAAAAUAUUGAGUUCUUCAUGUCUACAAAAAAAAAAAAAAAAAAAAAAUCAGAGGUGGCGAGAGAAAAGAAAGGAUGGAUAAAAAAAGCAGCCAUGGGAGAAGGACUUCAGUGGUGUCUAGGUACGUAUGAAUGGUGAGUCAGUAUAAGGCCGUAUCCGAAUUGGCGGCUACGGCUACGGCUGGAUCGCCGCGUCAUCAUGCAUUGAAGUAUAAGACUCCCUUAGCAACUUCCCUGGCAACGGUCGUAGCCGCAGCCGUAGCCAUCAAUUCGGAUACGGCCUUAAGGCCUAGAGUAUCAGUGUUGGCCUAGAGAUAAGACUAACUCUCUACUCUUUCAGCAGGUUGGCUGGAGAUAGGUUAAGUAUAACCAUGGAGGAAGAAAAUAUUUUCUUCCUCCAUGGUAUUAGGAUGUGAAUAGUGUAGAACUUAGUUUCGUUUCAAGGAUCUCAAUCUUAUCUCAUUUUCGGCGACCUCAUUCAGAGACAAUAAAAACACGAUCCUAAACAAAACAAAAGAUAAUGCCUUGAACCAAAACUAAGAUCUAUGAGUAGAAGAUGGAGACUGUACUUCUUCGAUGUCCCUCAUGAGUGACAGGAGGUCAGCAAGGGGAAAAGGUUGGAGCAAGGUAUCAGGUAUAAGUAUUGGGUAAGUGCUCUCUAAAUGUAAAAGAGUGAAAAAAACUCCACUCUUUACAUUUUGAGUUGCCCCUCAUAUGGCUCUUUAAAAAGAGUGGUGGUUAUUUCACUCUGUAAAAGGGGUUUACCUCCAGCACAGAGUGAAAAAUCACUCAAAAAGAUGCAAACUUCAAUCUAAAAGAGUGGAAUACCAAUCAAGAAAGAGCUGUCCCUCAUGUGGCUCUUCGACUUGAGUGCUUUUUCACUGUUUUGCAUUUAGAGAGUGUGAAAGAAUAACUACUCUUUCCUCCACAGCUCUAACACUCUCUCCAUGCAAUGCCUUAAAUAACCAUAUAUUACCUUGUUUUUUGUUUUCACACAGCUGCAACAUGUUAUUGCUAAAGAUAAUGUUUUGGCAAGCGCAGAUGGCAGCUCUGGGACACCAUAGAUUACAUGGAUUUGGUAAAGUAUUGAGGGUUAUCUCAGGUAAUGUAUAGUGAACCUGAUUUGUGUUUUCAUCUUGAUGAUGAUGAAGUAGUUUCCAUUGAGCUUAGAUUACGCCCAUCCAGCUAUGGAGUCGUGCAAAAGAUUAAGAUCAAGUUAUAAAGUUACCAACUACUAGUGGGACAACGCGACCACACAAUUUUGAAUCACAAACAAAAUACAAUAGAGACAACAGGUGUUAGUUGCCAGACUAAAAGGAUGUGUCUUUUUAGCCUCUUUCUUUAAAGAGCAUUCCCCUACAAUGUGGGAAAAUCAACAAAGAUAUUUAGCAGAUCACAAGCAAGCCUUCAUCAAUGUGCUGAUUAAUAAUUGGAAAGGAAAAUUGAAACAUACACAAACAAAAUCAGACUUUGAACCUCUCAAUGGUUAUUUGUGAUCAGCAGUCAAUGUAUAACUUUUUUGUAACUGAUAUUAGAAGAGUUUACCAACAUUAAUCUUCGAAAACUAUAUGUUUGUUUCCAAAGAUUGAGAUAUGGCAUCACCCAAAGUUGAGGCUAUACUCUUGACGGUUUUUUGACUGUGCACCAUCAGCUGAGAAGGACUGUGUCAAGUCUAUCCAGAUGACUCUCUCUCUGCCCUACAAAGUCAACCGCCAUUCAAGUGACAGAGCGAUGUGGAGCUGACAUGAUGAUCUUGGGGACGACAUCUCGAGGCUAAUUAACACUCUUUGGACUACCACCUGAAGAAGGACUGUGUCAAGUCUAGCCACAUGACUCUCCGCUACAAGAUCAACAGUUACUGUUCGAGUGACGUAGCGAUGUUGAGGCUAACCAACACUUUUUGGGACUAAGGCAAAAAUACAACAGUUAACUUGACUGAGAUAAUGACCUUGAAGAUGACAUUAAGAGGACUGUGCCAAGUCUAGCCAGGUGACUCUCCGCUACUACAAGAUCAACCGAGUGACGUGGCAACGUUGAGGCUAACCAACACUUUUUUGGACUGAGGCAAAAAGACAACGGACAACUUGGCUGAGAUGAUGACCUUGAAGAUGACAUCUUGAGGCUAAUUAACACUCUUUGGACUUGACACCUGAAGGACAUUGUCAAGUCUAGCCAGAUGACUCUCCGCUACAAAAUCAACCGUUCAAGUGACAUUGACUUUAGCGAUGUUGGCUAACCACCACUUUUUUGGACUAGGGCAAAAAGACACCAGAGAACUUGAUUGAGUUGAUGGCUUUGGAGAUGACAUACACCCUAGCCAUUUUUGGACUGAUUGCCACCAGCUGAAGAAGGACUGUGCCAAGUUUAGCUACCUGACUCUACUACAAGUUCAAGAACCUUUCAUGGAGCGUAGAACUGCUGUGUGGAUAAAACCAACCUUUUGUGUUUUUGAACUGAACGUCUUGAGAACUGUGCCAUGGUUCAAGUGACCAAGAGACAAUAUUUAUAUGAUAGAACACUUCUCAGAGCAAACUCUCCUCUCAAAGGUGAUUUUACACCUGGUUUUGUACCAUGCAAGUUUACUAGAAUUGGUACUUAUUAUUUUAACCACUCUAUGCAAAGCUUUCAAAUGCUUUUUGGACUGCCAUCGUUGACUGAUGAAAGACUGUGAUCACCAAUCAACUGAAACAAGCAGGACCAAGAUGGGGCCCUCUAUGAUGACGCUCAAGGGGAGGACCACACACAUAAGAACCAGCAGCCCAAUAUCAUGGAGCUGCUUAAGCAAAACAAUUACUGCUGAUUAAUUGUCUGCUUAGCAGAAAUGAGCAGGAUACCAGUCAAAAGUUGUACGUGUGACAUGUUAGUUUGACUGGUACCCUUGUUUUGGUAAGCAACAUUUAGUUGUGCUUAGCUACUUUUUGUGCUUUUAGCAGCUUUAUGAAAUUGGGCCCUGCAUAGGGUAUGUCUGAAUGUGUAGCUGUGGAUAUGGUUGCAGCUAUUGCUAUGGGUCUCUUACCAUACUUGAAACAUAUUCAUGUGACUAACAAGCCGUAUCCACAGCCACUAUUUCAGAUACAUCCUUAUCUUUUUUUACUUAUAGGCUUUUCUUGGAAUCCAUCAAAAUCCAGUACCAUUAUUGUACAAGUAGCGAGUCAUGAUCAGUACUCGCAUUAAGUGAUGCUUGGUUUGAUAAAAACUGGCAGCGUGGCCUCAUGCCAAGCAUUGUUUGCUCAUCAUGGAAAAUCAAAUUCAGUAAAUCAAAGUACAAUACGCUUUGGAUUUUGAUGGAGUUAAAGUAGUUAGGAAUGCAAAAGAUGCUGUAGCUUUUGUAAAGAGAAUUAAACAAACAAAUUAUGUUGACAAAAGACAUCAGAAGCAACGCAACUUAUGAGCCGUGUAGUUGUACUUUUUGCCAAACCAUUUGUUAUUACAAAUGAGUGAAAAUGCCACGUGACAAACAUAAUUUGGUAACAGGGAAGACCCAUGGCAUUAACCACUAUUCUAUCUGCGCGUUCAAGAACAAGAAGUGUUUUUCAUUAAACAUGCAUUUUGUCCACUAGCUCUCAAAAAACAUCAUUACUAGAUAACUAAAUGUUUGUCAUCUUUAAUGUUGUGUUUUAAAUUACAGUUUGUUUGAAGUAAUUGUUUAUCUAUUUUAAUUAUUAUCUGUUGUUGAUGUUUUAGUUUUCUGAAGUAUUUUUACUGUA